UAAGAACCGCGCGUUCACCAUAUGCGCCAGUCAACUGUGAUACACCAUGCCAAAUAAAAAGUCAUAACAAUGGACAUGUGAGAUUGAAUCUGGGAAAUGGAAUGGACGAUCCAGAUCCAACCUGGAGACCAGACGGUGGCCAGCGCCACCGUCUUCUCCGGACAAGCUCCGGCCAAGUUCAAAAGUUGCAGAGAAAAAAUGUUAACCAAAAGACACGAUCCAGGCAUCAAUCGAAAGCUGGGGUGAUGUACAUCACCCCUGUAC
rnacentral:lncRNA from 1 species